AGAAAACCGAUGAAAAAGAGUAGUAAGUCCUGGUUGAAAUUACAGAGAGCCGUAUGUGGUGGGAUUACGGUAUGGAGACUUGGAUGGAAUGGACUUUUGAGGGCGGCCUGAAUGGAUGGAAGUAGGAGCCGACGGGAAACCAGAUCCGUUAUCAAACUGGCAUGUAUGAUAGUACAUGAAUGAGUGGACAUUUGUCAAUUUGGGUGGUACCGCGAUAAUAAGGAAUUAUUACCGUCUCAAGC
rnacentral:ncRNA from 1 species